CUGAGAAUGAGAGCUAGAGAGGCAAGGAAACACUGGGAACAGUGGGGAAAAGACUGAACUGGAUUCAGGAGAUAGUAGGGUUGUGAGUUCUUGCAUAGUUAUGCCGCUAACUUGCUGGCCUUGAGGGAAAAGGAGACACUUAUCGAGUGCCUGUUAAUGUGCCAGGUAAUUUUCAUGUAUUGUCUAUGAUCUUACAUUUUUCCUCCAAAAACUUUAAGGAGGAUAUAUAAUUACUCCCUUUCACAGUUGAGGAAACUGGAGUUCAAAACAUAAGAAGCUUAUUCAAGGUCAUACAGCAAAUUACCUGCAGAUGAGAGAUUUGAGCUCUGGUCUUCACUGACUCCAAGGACAUAGUCUUUGAACUACACUAGGCUUCUUUUUAGGGCUGGAGGAUAUUUACUUGUGCAAAAACAGGUUAACCUAGAUCAGAGGUUGCAAACCCUCAGCUCAUGCACACAUAUUUCUGGUUUGGUCUCAUGAUGUCUCAAACAUUUAAAAAUUAUCAGUUAACCUUUCAGCAUCCAAAGAUUUCUCAUAAAACUCGAUUUCUGUCUUCUUCAGAGAGACUGGACGACCUGGCAGCUUCAGGCGUCGAGUAGUGGCGGCCCCUGAGAUGAUCCCCCCAGUGAAUAGUUGUAUUCUCUUCAUUGUGGGUCCUUCUAGUGUGGCAUGUGGGAUGCUGCCUCAGCGUGGUUUGAUGAGCAGUGCCGUGUCCACGCCCAGGAUUUGAACCAACGAAACACUGGGCCGCCUGCAGUGGAGCGCGCGAACUUAACCACUCGGCCACAGGGCCAGCCCCAGGACUGAGUUUUAACCCAGGAUUUGGGACACUCCCAAACAGACACUCCCCUGUCUCUACAGAGAGGGAAAAAGAAGGAAGAUGGCUCAUCUCAGUCGUUUCCUGCAAAAUAAUCCAAGUCACCAUUCAAGAGGCUGAUUAUACUUGAUCCUUCUUAGUUUGAUGAGCCUGGGUGGGUUGCACAAGUUGAUGUUGUCUUCCAAUGGGCACAGCUGUUGCUGGAUCUUUUGGCAAUUUUAAAGAAGAGUUCUGGCCCCACGGGGAGCCCAUGUGUUCUCCUCCUCCUGCUAUGCUGUUGUUUUUAGAUGGAGGAACUAAAAUAACCAUUGAGGGAUACCAAGAAAGCUGCCAGAGAAGCUGUUGUGCUGUUCUCCAAGAAGUCUGUUGCAAAAUGUUUAAUGAUUCUUAAGUGAAAAGUAUUUGGGAAUUGGGGCUGCCAGAGUGUUCGUAACUAAUGUCCUCCCUGGUAUUACGAUAGAACAGACGGCAAGUUCAGUCUCCUGAUGGGUGCAUGAGAGGUUCCAUGCGCAUGGGCUGGUUCAAAGAAAAGACCUCCCCUCAAAGAAAAAAAUGUAAAUAUAAACCCACCUGCAUAUUUAGAAACUGCUAGGACAGAAAAGGUGCCCCCAAUCCACAGAAUGUUUCCUUUCUUGGCUUAGUUAUCAUUUAAAUACUUUCAUUGGUUGGUACUGCUUUUUACCAUGGUUGAGAUAGUUUAAAUUGUAAAUGAAUGCAGAAAAAAAAUAUGGUAGAAAUGGUAUUUGCAUUACUGAACACUUAAUUCUGUGCAAUCCUACCCCAGGGGCAGUACUUGACAGGGGGUACAAAUUGAACUAGGAGGGGGGCUACAGGGAAAGUCAGUUAGAAUUAGGGACUGCAUGUUUGGCAUAAUGAGGAAAAAAGAGGUAGAAAGAGUGCUAUUGGAACUAACGACAAAAGUUUCCUGCAAUAUAAUUAAAUUAAAAAAAAUUAUUGCAGUGAUAUUGUAU
ensembl:lncRNA